rnacentral:rRNA from 1 species
AACGAACGCUGGCGGCAGGCUUAACACAUGCAAGUCGAACGCCCGAGCAAUCGGGAGUGGCAGACGGGUGAGUAACGCGUGGGAAUCUACCCAGUUCUUCGGAAUAACUGAGGGAAACUUCAGCUAAUACCGGAUACGCCCCAAGGGGGAAAGAUUUAUCGGAAUUGGAUGAGCCCGCGUUCGAUUAGCUAGUUGGUGGGGUAAUGGCCUACCAAGGCGACGAUCGAUAGCUGGUCUGAGAGGAUGAUCAGCCACACUGGGACUGAGACACGGCCCAGACUCCUACGGGAGGCAGCAGUGGGGAAUAUUGGACAAUGGGCGCAAGCCUGAUCCAGCCAUGCCGCGUGAGUGAUGAAGGCCUUAGGGUUGUAAAGCUCUUUCAGUGGGGAAGAUAAUGACGGUACCCACAGAAGAAGCCCCGGCUAACUUCGUGCCAGCCGCCGCCGUAAAAC